UACGGAGGGGGCUAGCGUUGUUCGGAAUUACUGGGCGUAAAGCGCACGUAGGCGGCUUUGUAAGUUAGAGGUGAAAGCCCGGGGCUCAACUCCGGAAUUGCCUUUAAGACUGCAUCGCUAGAAUUGUGGAGAGGUAAGUGGAAUUCCGAGUGUAGAGGUGAAAUUCGUAGAUAUUCGGAAGAACACCAGUGGCGAAGGCGACUUACUGGACACAUAUUGACGCUGAGGCGCGACAGCGUGGGGAGCAAACAGG
rnacentral:rRNA from 1 species